GAUUUUCGCUGACGGCCGAUUUAACACAGCCACCAGCGAAAAUGAAUUUUUGCUAGCGGCUGAUGUAAGAUGACCGCUAGCAAAGAUCCAUUUUUGCUGGUGGCUGGCUUAAGAUGACCAUCAGCGAAAAUG
rnacentral:miRNA from 1 species